rnacentral:rRNA from 1 species
GACGGUAGGGUAUUGGCCUACCGUGGCUAUGACGGGUAACGGGGAAUUAGGGUUCGAUUCCGGAGAGGGAGCCUGAGAAACGGCUACCACAUCUAAGGAAGGCAGCAGGCGCGCAAAUUACCCAAUCCUAAUACAGGGAGGUAGUGACAAGAAAUAACAAUACAGAACCUCACGGUUUUGUAAUUGGAAUGAGUUAAGUAUAAACCCCUUAACGAGUAUCAAUUGGAGGGCAAGUCUGGUGCCAGCAGCCGCGGUAAUUCCAGCUCCAAUAGCGUAUAUUAAAGUUGUUGCAGUUAAAAAGCUCGUAGUUGAUUUUCUGUUAAUUUUUAUGUAUAAUAUUGCGAUAUUUACAUAAUAUUAACAUAAUUCACAUUACUUUACAGUAUGUGGAAYUUUACUUUGAGAAAAUUAGAGUGCUUAAAGCAGGCUAUUGCCUUGAAUACUCCAGC